UACGUAGGGUGCGAGCGUUGUCCGGAAUUCUUGGGCGUAAAGGGCUCGUAGCCGGUCUGUCACGUCGGGAGUGAAAACUCGGGGCUCAACCCCGAGCCUGCUUCCGAUACGGGCAGACUAGAGGUAUGCAGGGGAGAAUGGAAUUCCUGGUGUAGCGGUGAAAUGCGCAGAUAUCAGGAGGAACACCAGUGGCGAAGGCGGUUCUCUGGGCAUUACCUGACGCUGAGGAGCGAAAGUGUGGGGAGCGAACAGG
rnacentral:rRNA from 1 species